GUUUUUGAACAAUAUUCUCCCCCAUUAAUUCAGGACUACCUUUUUUAUUGAUACUUAAUACCCGACUCUCCUCUUCAAUUACCUUAGGAUCCAUAAAACCUUCCAUUUCAAUGCAUUGAGUGUGGGUCUCGUGAUUAACAAUUGGGACCUGUCCAGAUUUAAUGCAAACAAAUAUACCCUCAUCAUUUACAAUCACCUUGUCUUUAAAUGUAUAUGGGAGUUCCAAUUCACUUUUGGAAUAAAUAGCAACCGUAUUCACACCCCCAAAAUCACGGUCCCCACUCCCCAUAUUAACUCCCUCUAAAUAAGAAAAGUAAUUUCGAGAAUUGGUCAUAAUAACUGCACAAAAACCCUUGUGACUGAUCAGAAGCGGCUUAUAUCCUUCCAUCUCCGCCCCACACCUUCCAGCCGCUUCAUUUUCUGGUGGUUCAACAAACUGUUCCGAUUCUGACACCCAAACAAUUGAGUUCUCCAAUAUUCCUGCAAAAUCUGAUGACACUGAGUCCGAUGAAAAAGAAUAACCACUAUCUUCUUUCUUCAACCUAAACAUAGCUUCAUCUUCUACCUCCUCCCAAAGAUUAACCUUAAACGACUCGCCGUUAAUCCUUACUGCUACAGUGCUCUCAAUUCGAGAUCUCCAAUGGAUUUUGAUCUUUAACCUACAUCUGUCAAAUCUCUCCUUCUGACUGGUCUCAUCCUCCACUGAAAUCAAAGAUCCAAAAUUCUUAGCAAUUAACUCGAAGCAACUCGAAUUCUAGGCAUGCAAAGGAAUCCCCAUAAUUGUGAUCCACUUGAUUCUGAAAUCCACCUCCACCUCUUCAGACCAGGGCGAUAAGGAGGAGAACACCUUGUGUAAACAUCCCUCAGCAUCCUUUAAAAUUUCAAGUAUGUCUUCCCCUUCAAGGGGAGAUAGGAGAACCAAAUUUCCACCCAUAGGAUGGACUUUGAUUGUGAGCAAACCUUUUGAGCAUAAUAUAUCCUUCAAUGUCAUAAUUACUCCUGGAUUAUUAGUCUUCCUACCACACACCUAGACAGCCAAUCUAGGUCCUGUUUAUCCAUAGUGUAAUCCACUUCCAACCUAUUCAACGUUGCUGAUUGACGAGUAAAAAGAUGGUGUCUCACUUCACUAGGUUUUCCCUCCUUGGGUCCGUCUCGGGUGACCCCGUUUAGGACUUCAACAAAGCUUCUUCUAUCUCUGAGACGGUGAUUGAAAAUAGAACAUUUCUCAUCCUGGGCAUUAUCCGUAGAAGGUUUUUGUUGGUUGUCCCUACGAAAUCUUGGUAAGUUCGCGAAGAUUUUUGUGUGUCCGAUCCAAAUGUUAUCUAGUUUCUUUUCUAGGGCUCUUUCUUCCUGUAUUUUUUCAAGUCUAAUAAAAGAAAACCUCUAGGCAUUUAUGUUUCUCUUCAUUGGAAUAUAGACGUCUCUAACUCUCCCACAACUCUGGAAGGUCUGCCAAAGGUCUUUGGAAUUGUAAUCAUCAGGAAAGUUUGUAACGUAGAAUGUACUAAAUGUCCAUAGGCUCUCCGUUGAUCUCUUUGUCUUCUUCCUCUCUCUGGUUUGCUGAAGUCAUAAGUCACGGCUUCCUGUGGUGGUCCAGGAGAAUCUCUCCUUAAUUGGUAGGUAGGAAUGUUUGGGUUUCUCACAGGGUUAGGUGCUCUCUGGUUUCUCGAAGGGGGGCGGUGAUGGGCAAGGUUUCUCUCAUGAAGGGGGGCGGUGAUGGGCAAGGGUUCUCUCCGGUUUUCAGCCUAGGAUUUGCUCUGGUAUUCUCUCCAGCGAUCUAUCCAAGGGUCUCUCCUCUGGUCUCUCAUUCUAUCUCUUUUGCUAUUAUAAGUCUCCUCUUAUUAAUAAAUGUCAUUGUUAUUUCAUUUUGUUUUCUUAGAGGUUUUAUCUUUAACAACACUUCUUCAAGAAGUUCUGUUAAAACUUUAUAUAUUUAACAAUAUUUUUUUUUAACAAUAAGCAUUGUUAUUGAGUGAGAAUUUUUUCAAAUUCAAAACCAAAAUCAUAUACAAUAAUACAUAUUAUUCAGUUUGUUAAUUUUUUUACCUUUCUUCUUCUCCGUAAGUUACAUUUUUUUUUCUCUUUUGGUUUUAACGACUUUUGGUUGUUCUCUUCUUCAAACAUAAGGUAAAUCGUUAUCUUAUUUUAGCUCAUCUAUUUCUCUCUUCACUAAUAGUGUGAUCUUUAUUUGUUGUGAAGUUAUGCAGCUAUGGUGUUCUAAGUUUUUGGCUAUAGUGAGCAUUGGAGGAGAAAGAAUGAACAAUUUGCAUAAGAUCUCAUGACUCAUAUGUCAUUUUAUAAUAUUGGAAUAUGUUAAGGUUGAAGGUAGUUGAAGUCUUUGGUGAUUUAACAAAUCUAUUGUAAAUGUGGUGGAGUUUGACAUGGUUGUCAUGUGUUUGAUAGAAUGUCUGGAACAUAUAUUGUCUUAUUUAGAAAGUAGACAUUUAAUAGCAUUUGCUUCAGUGAGCGCUGUUAAAUGUAUGCUUUCUAAAGCGCUACAAAAAACGUUGUUAAAUAUGACUUUAUAUACUAAUGCGCUCACAUAGAAAGCGCCACAAAAACACUAUUAAAUGACAAUUUUAAAUGUUGUUGUUUUGCUAGUCUAGCAUAGUAACUAGAGAAC
rnacentral:lncRNA from 1 species